GAUUAGGCAUGCAAGUCGAACGCGAAAGGAUCACUUCGGUGGACCGAGUAGAGUGGCGAACGGGUGAGUAACGCGUAGGUAAUCUAUCUUCAAGCGGGGGACAGCCCCGGGAAACCGGGAUUAAUACCGCAUGUGUCCGGGACAUAAGUUUCGGGUAAAAGUGGCCUCUGACAUAAGCUACUGUUUGAAGUUGAGCCUGCGUCCUAUUAGUUAGUUGGUAAGGUAAGAGCUUACCAAGGCGAUGAUAGGUAGGCGGCCUUAACGGGUGGUCGCCCACACUGGGAUUGAGAUACGGCCCAGACUCCUACGGGAGGCAGCAGUCGAGAAUAGUCUACAAUGGGGGCAACCCUGAUAGUGCGACGCCGCGUGGAUGAAGAAGCAUUUCGGUGUGUAAAAUCCUUUUCUGUAUGAUCAGUGCUUAUAAGGAGAAUAUUUUUAUAAGAGGGAUCUUAGUACAGGAAUAAGCCACGGCUAACUCCGUGCCAGCAGCCGCGGUAACACGGGGGUGGCGAGCGUUGUCCGGAAUUACUAGGCGUAAAGGGUAAGUAGGUGGAAUUGUAAGUCAGAUGUUAAAUGCACCGGCUCAACCGGUGUACGGCAUUUGAUACUGUGAUUCUCGAGUAAGGUGGGGGAAGACGGAAUUCCUGGUGUAGCGGUGGAAUGCGCAGAUAUCAGGAGGAACACCAGCGGCGUAGGCGGUCUUCUAUACCAUUACUGACGCUCAAUUACGAAGGUGUGGGUAUCAAACAGGAUUAGAUACCCUGGUAGUCCACACAGUAAACGAUAUACACUAGGUGUUGGGAGAGAUUAUCUUUCAGUGCCGCAGCUAACGCGUUAAGUGUAUCGCCUGGGGAGUACGAUCGCAAGGUUAAAACUCAAAGGAAUUGACGGGGCCCCGCACAAGCGGUGGAGCAUGUUGUUUAAUUCGAUGCAACGCGAAGAACCUUACCUGGGCUUGACAUCCUGGGAAUCCUGUAGAGAUACGGGAGUGCCCCUUCGGGGGAAGCCAGAGACAGGUGCUGCAUGGCUGUCGUCAGCUCGUGUCGUGAGAUGUUGGGUUAAGUCCCGCAACGAGCGCAACCCCUAUCUUUAGUUGCCAGCACGUGAUGGUGGGGACUCUAGAGAGACUGCCAGUGUAAUAAACUGGAGGAAGGUGGGGAUGACGUCAAGUCAUCAUGGUCCUUAUGUCCAGGGCUACAAACGUGCUACAAUGGUCGGUACAGAGGGCAGCGAAUCUGUGAGGAGGAGCUAAUCUCCGAAAGCCGAUCUCAGUUCGGAUUGGAGUCUGCAAUUCGACUCCAUGAAGCUGGAAUCGCUAGUAAUCGCGUGUCAGCAUAACGCGGUGAAUACGUUCCCGGGUCUUGUACACACCUGUCUCUUAUACACAUC
rnacentral:rRNA from 1 species